rnacentral:rRNA from 1 species
UACAACAGCCCACAGCUUUACCAGUUCACACUGUAAUUUUGCCAGAUCUUAUAAGCUAAGCAGGUUUGGCCCUAGUCAUUAGUAGGAUGGGCAGGCUCCAGGGAAAAUCCAUGUGCUGCAGAAA